AUUUGACGUUACCUACAGAAGAAGCACCGGCUAACUCCGUGCCAGCAGCCGCGGUAAUACGGAGGGUGCGAGCGUUAAUCGGAAUUACUGGGCGUAAAGCGCAUGCAGGUGGUUUGUUAAGUCAGAUGUGAAAGACCCGGGGCGUCAACCUCGGAAUUGCAUUUGAAACUAGGCAGGCUAGAGUCUUGUAGAGGGGGGUAGGAAGUUUCAGGUGUAGCGGUGAAAUAGCGUAGAGAUCUGAAGGAAUACCAGUGGCGAAGGCGGCCCCCUCGGACAAAGACUGACGCUCAGAUGCGAAAGCGUGGGGAGCAAACAGGAUUAGAUACCCUGGUAG
rnacentral:rRNA from 1 species